UUUGACAAGAAAUCUUUCUCUCUUCCCUCCUUUCUUUCCCCAAAAUCGGUUCCCUCCCCCCUCCCCAAAGAAAUCCUAAAAUUUCACUUGAAAUUUCUUCUCUUUUCUUUCCCAUUUUAUUUUUCCCAAACCAUUUCUCCCCUACCCCGAUUCCCUUUAUUUUUUCCCCCAAUUUCCCCAAAUUGGCAACUCCAUGAUGUUCUCUCUUUGAUAUGUUUGCUUAUUGGAUGUGUUGCUCGGACUUUAUAUUGUUGUUUGAAAUAUCUUCACUGAGAUUGGUCAAUUGAACCCCUUAUCCAUGCCCGCCGAUCCCAAGCCCUCCUACACCUUCAGCUCCCUCCGUGAUCGUAGUAGGGACAUUCUCAGCGUCGUCGUCGCUCUCCUCUUCGGCGUCGGCUGUAGCUCUCUCACUGCCGCCGCUAUUUACUUGGUAUGGAUUAUCUUCAUGGCCCGUUGCGAGUACCAUGAGGAUGAUGAGUCUGACGAAGAAUUUAGCCCUAAAAAAAUGGGGUAUGUUAACAUUCCUGCGAAUCCUACUGUUAACGUUAAGGAAUCCUACUGUUAACGUUAAAGAUGAUUAAGGUUGAUGGCUAGAAAAGAAAUCAUCUUGUUUAUUACUCAAAAUUGUUGGUAAGGGUGUAUGAUUUAUAGACUUGUAGAUGUAACUAGAGCUCUACCAUCAAUAGAUAGGAAAAGUUACUGGACAAUUAUACAUUAUUGUUUGAUAUAUUUAUUAUUUUACUUAAUAUUUGACUAUCUUUAUAUAUGGACACUAUUUUAGUUGUAUAAGAACUAAGAAUUUAUCCUUUAUAUGUAUCAGCAAGCCAUAAAACAUAAAGAUUUAAGUAACCAUAGGAAGUUACUAUGGAAUAGAAGGCUAGGAUGCAAUGCUCUAUAAUUUGAAAUAAUUUCUCUUCAUCUGGCCUCUUAAAUUUUCAUGGAAUCUCUACACCUAGGAUUCUACUCCUCAAUGAUUGUCUUCUAAAGAUCACCACUAACAGUGAGCAUGUUUAUGUUUCUAAAAGAAAAUUAUUUUGCAUUUGAAGUAUUUGUUUCAAGCUAAUUUAGGGUUGCCAGUGACGUCUUGGUUUAAGGGCAAGGAGGAGGCUAUGGGACUUUGAGAUCCCUAGUUUGAGUCUCACCAUGUUGGGCUUAGUGUAUUUUGGAGAUGGACAGAUGUAUUUUGGAGAUGGGAGCCAUACAUGCUGGUGACUUCAUGGCAGAGCCCUAUAUCAAUUGCAGCUGCAGUUAUUUAUAUAAUAACACAGCUUUCGGAUGAUAAGAAGCCACUUAAAGAUAUUUCUGUUGUUACGGGAGUUGCGGAAGGGACAAUCCGAAAUUCAUACAAGGAUCUUUAUCCUCAUGUGUCUAAGAUAAUACCAAACUGGUAUGCCAAGGAAGAAGAUAUCAAGAACCUAUGCAGUCCUUGAAUUACAGAACAGACAAUAAUGGAGAUACCACAAACAAAACCCUCAAAGUGCUGAGUUCUCUCUCUCGGGAUCUCGUGGAACUCUCGGAUUCUUUAUAUCUUUCUUACAUUUGGCAAAUUAGUACGCAUAACACCUGGCGUAGGUAGAUUUGUUGCUAGGAGUUACAGUCCAAGACAGUUGGUCAGCGCGUCACCUAGAAUUCCAUUAUUUGAGAUUUUUGUGGUUAAAGAAGAUGAAGAAAUAUAUCUUAUGCAGGUUGCAUGUUACAAAGGUCAGGGAAGAAUAGCAGAAUUUGGUUUCCGUAACCCGCGAUGGGUCGAUGGCGAACUUCUCCAACUUAAUGGCAAGGGCAUUGGACCCUAUGUCAAAGGAGCUGAUCUAGGUUUCCUUUACAUUGUGCCCGAGCAAAGUUUCCUUGUGCUACACAACCGUUUAAUAUAUAAAUAUAUUUGUAUAAAGUAUUUUAAUUUUUUUACUAAUUUAAAUAUUGUUUUUAUUUUUAUAUUUGUAAAAGAAAUUAGUUAUAAAAUAAAAAAUUUAAAUUU